rnacentral:rRNA from 1 species
GACGAACGCUGGCGGCGUGCUUAACACAUGCAAGUCGAACGGAAAGGCCCUGCUUGCAGGGUACUCGAGUGGCGAACGGGUGAGUAACACGCGGGUGAUCUGCCCUGCACUCCGGGAUAAGCCUGUGAAACUGGGUCUAAUACCGGAUAGAAGCCAUUUUUAGUGUGAUGGUUGGAAAGUUUUUUCGGUGUAGGAUGAGCUCGCGGCCUAUCAGCUUGUUGGUGGGGUAAUGUCCUACCAAGGCGGCGGCGGGUAGCAGGCCGGGGGGGGUGGACGGCAACAUUGGGACUGGGAGACGGCCCAGACGCCGACGGGAGGCAGAAGGGGGGAAGAUUGCCCAAGGGGCGCAGGCCUGAUGCAGCGACGCCGCGGGGGGGAGGACGGCCUUCGGGUUGUAAACUCCUUUCGCUAGGGACGAAGCUUUUUGUGACGGUACCUAGAUAAGAAGCACCGGCUAACUACGUG